AUGGAAGAGCCACAGCAGGGCUGCUUUGAGACUCUCCCCAGCUGUCAAGAGCUCUCUGGGCCCCAGCUCAUCUCAGAUGGUCCAAAAGACAGUGGAAAUGUGAGCUGUGGCACCAGUCACUGUGUAUACUUCGACUACUGGGGGAAAGGAACCAAAGUCACUGUUUCCUCAGCUGAACCAUCUGCGCCGAAGUCAAUCUUCGCCCUGUCUCAGUGUUCUUCUGAUUCUGAGUUCCUCACCAUCGGCUGCGUGUCAAGAGGUUUCUCCCCUGCAGACUCGCUUACUUUCAAAUGGAAGGAUCCCGCUGAUAAAGAGCUGACUGAUUUCGUGGAGUAUCCAGCGUUUGGGAGUGACGGAGACUAUACCAAAAUCAGCCAUCUGCGUGUGAAAAAAAGCGACUGGAAUCCUCAAAAACCUUACACAUGUGAAGCUUCAAAUUCGAAUGGCAAAAAAGAAACUAAAGCGCCAACACGUAAAGAGCAACCUAAAGUUCCAGAAGAUGAAAAGAAACUCAAUCUUACCAUUUACAGACCAGAUAUUAUCAACAAAGACAGUGUCUCUCUGGUGUGUGAGGUCACAUGCCCUAAACCUCGUGCUGUCUAUAUCAUGUGGAAGGUGGGCAAUGAACCUUACAUUGAGGGCAGAACCAGUGCUUCCAUCCCUCAAGAGAACUCCACGUCUGUUUUCAGCAUCCUAACAAUCACAAAGGAAACAUAUGAAAAACCCCAAACCACCAUCACCUGCGCAGUCAAACACGCCAACAUGAAGAAUACAAGCGCUCCAUUACAAGUGUCAACAAGCCAAAGGGAUCCACCUGAGCCAGAGAAGGGUUUUGCUCUGAACUGUAAUAAUGAUGUUCUGGAGGAGGAUGACUUCAGAAGUCUCUGGUCCACUGCCACUUCAUUCGUCUUUCUCUUCCUUAUUUCUCUGACCUACAGCGCUGUACUCAGCCUCUUCAAGAUGAAGCAGUGAUGAUUUUUAAAAAGAACUUCCGAAGACUCCAAGGUUUCUUAUUCUGAUGUUGAUUCUACAUAAUUUGCCUCUAUAUGCACACAUUUUUGAAGAUAUUGACAAAUAUGUACUCAGUGUUCACACUCAUCAAUAAAGUCUUAUUAUGUCUAC